rnacentral:rRNA from 1 species
UACGGGGGGGGCGAGCGUUGUUCGGAAUUACUGGGCGUAAAGGGCUCGUAGGCGGCCAACUAAGUCAUACGUGAAAUCCCUCAGCUUAACUGGGGAACUGCGUGUGAUACUGGAUGGCUUGGAUUUGGGAGAGGGAUGCGGAAUUCCAGGUGUAGCGGUGAAAUGCGUAGAUAUCUGGAGGAACACCGGUGGCGAAGGCGGCAUCCUGGACCAAUAUUGACGCUGAGGAGCGAAAGCCAGGGGAGCAAACGGG